rnacentral:lncRNA from 1 species
CCUGGCCGUGGGGUCAGCUGCACAGGCCAGGAGCUCGAGGGUGGUGGCUGGCAGAAAGUGCAGUCCAAAGUACUCUGUUUUGUUUUGAUUGUGUUUUAAAAUGGGACAAAUAACAGCAUGUGUGUUUGCUGAUGGGGAGAAUCCAGGAGAAAAACAGUGAAGUUGAGGUGAGCCUCACAGGGUCAGGGGGAAGACAGGGGAUCCCGAAGAUAACGUCUGCUACGAACUCAAUUGCAUCCGCCCCGGGCCCUAAGUUGAAGCCCUAAUCCCCACGUUGACUGCAUUUGGAGAAGGACCUUCAGCACAUGAUGGAGGGACCGAGAUGCCCAAAUCCUGGCCCUCCUGCUGGACUUUCAUUUUAAAGAACAAUAAAAUUAAUGUUAACUUCUAGCAGCUUCCAAGCUCUGUGGCCCCGGAGAGGGUCAGCGAGGGGCCUCCACUGUCUGAGUCCGCUCCUGGCAACGCCUGCUCUCUGCACUCAGAGGCCCGGUCCCGGCAGCUGCCACGUUGCUCAGAAGUUCUGGCAGGGGGAGCCUGAAACCCCUGUCUGCUGGCGACACUCCCGGAGCAGCAGGAAAUCUCUACAUUUUAUUUUUUUUCUUAACAGACAAAAGUAUUUGACUCCAGAAUGAUUUCCAGGAAUUACAGUAUGAGAACUUAGUCUUUGAGAUUUUUAUUUUCUUCUUAAAAAAAUAAAAAUGAAAUCAAAGCAGAAGACACUGGUUGAGCAGACAGCACACUAGCACAUUCCACUUCGCAACAAAACCUGCGU